GGAAGGGCCUUAGCUCAGUGGUAGAACAUUUGCUCUGCGUUCAGAAGGUCCCAGGUUCAAUCCCUGGCUUCUCCA